GUGCCAGCCGCCGCGGUAAUACCGGCAGCUCAGGUGAUGGCCACUCUUAUUGGGCCUAAAGCGUCCGUAGCUGGCCGCACAAGUCCGUCGGGAAAUCCGCCCGCUCAACGGGCGGCCGUCCGGCGGAACCUGUGUGGCUUGGGACCGGGAGGCCUGAGGGGUACGAUCGGGGUAGGAGUGAAAUCCUGUAAUCCUGGACGGACCGCCGGUGGCGAAAGCGCCUCGGGAGGACGGACCCGACGGUGAGGGACGAAAGCCAGGGUCUCGAACCGGAUUAGAUACCCGUGUAGUCC
rnacentral:rRNA from 1 species